GGAGAGAUGGCUGAGUUGGUCUAAGGCGCACGACUGGAAAUCGUGUGUACGUUAAUAGCGUACCGAGGGUUCGAAUCCCUCUCUCUCCG
rnacentral:tRNA from 2 species